rnacentral:lncRNA from 1 species
UUGUUGGCUUUUAAAUAUUUCUUGCAAUUCCUACAGACGUAGAAUAUUAUCCUAUACAUAUAGGCUAUACAAUACUAUGCUAUAUAUAUAUAUAUAUAUAUAUAUACACUUAGUUUUAGUUUUUUGCUGGCAGACCUCUGUUGAUUUGCUACUAAGUGCAUUCCAGCAGUGGGCUGUCACGUGGCCUCCAUGCGCUUUACAGCGUCAUUUCCAUAUAAACCCUAAAGAGGGAACUUCCGACCUUCCAUGCUGUGGAGCCAUCCAAGUCCCCUGUCUACAUCCACCCAAGACCAGACAUCUAACUCAUUCUGUAGCCAUUUGAGUGCUGCAUACCUACAAAGCAAUCGUGAAGCAUCCAACCAUCACUGUGCCCAAGGUUCUACUUGCAGUCAAUCCCAUUUCGCCUCCUAACAGCACACUAUGAGUAGGCGGUAUGGACAUUUCCACAUCUCAGAACAGGGGACUGAGGCACCGAAGGCUUUCUGGAACACUGUCAGGUACGCGCCUCUUCUAAGUACGAAGAGAGCCCAGGGCAUAAGGCUGGCUCAUGGUGCUUUGCUGUGUGGCUUUAAUGUCUCUGGUAAAUCAGGGCAUUUGCCCACAAACCUGUCUGUGGGGGUAUUUCAGUCCACACCUCAAUGCAAACUCUUCCUAAGUCCAAGUUGGAGACAUGACACUCCAUGGGGCAACAGUUGUGUAGGGGGAACAGAAGGCUGAUACAAGAGUCAAUUUGGACUAAUCCCCCAUGGACAACAAGAUGCCAACACUGUUUUCUAUUGCUAUGCAUAUCUAUUGCUAUGCAUAUCCUAGGAACCCAUGGGGGGGAUGAGACAGAAGCUGCGUGUUCCACUUCGACAAAGAAGAGAUUUAGGAAAGUGCGCUUCUCUCUGAACAACCAGGAACCUGUGAGGAGGAUGAGACAGAACCUGCCCGGUCCACUUCGAGAAAGACGAGAUUUAAGAAAGUGCGCUUCUCUCCCCACAACCGGGUAAAACCGAUCAGUGUCACAGAAGGAGGUUUGUGAGAAUUUACUCAUUAAGUGGAUUUAAGAAUAAUUGUUUCACUAGUGACAUAGAAAUACAUGUAGAAAUACCUUCUACAUUUAAAGAAUAUUCUACUUCUAAAUGUCAACUUUGACCAUAGUCUUAUAAAGAACACACUCAGGAAACACACCACACUGCUCUUAUGGAUCACCUGGCAACAGGACAGGGAAAGGUCAGCUCUUCUCAGUGUAGAUGUCAAAAUCUGAAAGCAAAU